AGCAGCGUGGCUCAGUGGAAAGAGCCCGGGCUUGGGAGUCAGAGGUCGUGGGUUCGAAUCCUGGCGCUGCCA
rnacentral:tRNA from 1 species